rnacentral:rRNA from 1 species
GGCAGGCUUAACACAUGCAAGUCGAGCGCCUCGCAAGAGGAGCGGCAGACGGGUGAGUAACGCGUGGGAAUCUACCCAUCCUUACGGAACAACUCCGGGAAACUGGAGCUAAUACCGUAUACGCCCUUCGGGGGAAAGAUUUAUCGAGGAUGGAUGAGCCCGCGUUGGAUUAGCUAGUUGGUGGGGUAAAGGCCUACCAAGGCGACGAUCCAUAGCUGGUCUGAGAGGAUGAUCAGCCACAUUGGGACUGAGACACGGCCCAAACUCCUACGGGAGGCAGCAGUGGGGAAUAUUGGACAAUGGGCGCAAGCCUGAUCCAGCCAUGCCGCGUGAGUGAUGAAGGCCCUAGGGUUGUAAAGCUCUUUCACCGGAGAGGAUAAUGACGGUAUCCGGAGAAGAAGCCCCGGCUAACUUCGUGCCAGCAGCCGCGGUAAUACGAAGGGGGCUAGCGUUGUUCGGAUUUACUGGGCGUAAAGCGCACGUAGGCGGAUCGAUCAGUCAGGGGUGAAAUCCCAGAGCUCAACUCUGGAACUGCCUUUGAUACUGUCGAUCUGGAGUAUGGAAAAGUGAGUGGAAU